GACGAACGCUGGCGGCGUGCCUAAUACAUGCAAGUCGAGCGCAGGAAACUGACGGAACUCUUCGGAGGGAAGGCAGUGGAAUGAGCGGCGGACGGGUGAGUAGCACGUAAGGAACCUGCCUCAAGGAUUGGGAUAACUCCGAGAAAUCGGAGCUAAUACCGGAUAGUUCAACGGACCGCAUGGUCCGCUGAUGAAAGGCGCUCCGGCGUCACCUUGAGAUGGCCUUGCGGUGCAUUAGCUAGUUGGUGGGGUAACGGCCCACCGAGGCGACGACGCAUAGCCGACCUGAGAGGGUGAUCGGCCACACUGGGACUGAGACACGGCCCAGACUCCUACGGGAGGCAGCAGUAGGGAAUCUUCCACAAUGGACGAAAGUCUGAUGGAGCAACGCCGUGUGAGUGAUGAAGGUUUUCGGAUCGUAAAACUCUGUUGUAAGGGAAGAACACGUACGAGAGGAAAUGCUCGUACCUUGACGGUACCUUACGAGAAAGCCACGGCUAACUACGUGCCAGCCGCCGCGGUAAUAC
rnacentral:rRNA from 1 species